rnacentral:rRNA from 1 species
CGGGGGAGCAAGCGUUGUUCGGAUUACUGGGCGUAAAGGGCGCGUAGGCGGUCAGCACGAGUCAGUUGUGAAAUCUCCGGGCUUAACUCGGAAAGGUCAACUGAUACUGUGCGACUAGAGUGCGGAAGGGGCAACUGGAAUUCUCGGUGUAGCGGUGAAAUGCGUAGAUAUCGAGAGGAACACCUGCGGCGAAGGCGGGUUGCUGGGCCGACACUGACGCUGAUGCGCGAAAGCCAGGGGAGCGAACGGGAUUAGAUACCCCGGUAGUCCUGGCCUUAAACGAUGGAUGCUUGGUGUCUGGAGUUUUAUAGUCUCCGGGUGCCGUAGCUAACGCGUUAAGCAUCCCGCCUGGGGAGUACGGUCGCAAGACUG